rnacentral:rRNA from 1 species
CGGCUAACUACGUGCCAGCAGCCGCGGUAAUACGUAGGUGGCAAGCGUUGUCCGGAUUUAUUUGGGCGUAAAGCGAAGCGCAGGCGGUUUUAAGGUUCUUGAUGUGAAAGACCUUCGGCUCAACCGAAGAAAGUAGCAUCGGAAACUAGGGAAACGUUAGAGUGCAGAAGAGGACAGUGGAACUCCAUGUGUAGCGGUGAAAUAGCGUAGAUAUAUGGAAGAACACCAGUGGCGAAGGCGGCUGUCUGGUCUGUAACUGACGCUGAGGCUCGAAAGUAUGGGUAGCAAACAGGAUUAGAUACCCUGGUAG